AGGCGUGCCAUCUACGUGACCUUCGAUAUUGCGUUUUUCCGGCCCCUAGAGUAUCGCGACAACAGAAAGAGGAACUCCUCAGAUUGCAGCUGCGACAGCGUCCUCUAGUGUAUGGAGACUGCACAGCACGAGCGGCGUGCACUGCCCUCUGGGUUCUGCGCUGGGGAGGCGCGGGCGCUGGCGGCUUGAGGUGCACCGUGGGGGGUGCCGGUGGUUUCCGUGGCUCUGGAGCCCGGAAGGGUUUAGCAAAAUACAUCCUGGUUAGAUGUGGCCCGAAAGCUUCAAGUGUGCAGCCCCCUGGAAGCCUGGCCCAUACAAGCUUGGUACUCAGCCAGAGGUAUGUUGACAUCUCUUAAGGUACCCUCUUACAAAAACUGCUAUGACCUUGGGGUACCUGGACGGCUCAGUCUGUUGAGCAUCAGACUCUUGAUAUCUGCUCAGGUCAUGAUCUCACAGUCAUGGGAUGGAACCCCUCAUCCAUGCUUGGGAUUCUCUCUCUCCCUCUUUCUCUGCCCCUCCGCUGCUUGCAUUCUCUCUCAAAAUAAAUAAAUAAACAUUUUAAAAAAAUUCUCUCCCUCUGCCCCUUCUCUACUUUCUCUCUAAAAAAUAGAAGUAAAAAGAAUUUAUAAAGUUCCCUAGACUAAACAGCUCUCUCCUCCAUUCAUUCCUUUUCCCUCAGCAGCAAGCAAAUACUUGUGCCUUUUCAAAACAGCUCAGCUUCACUUCUUUCAGUAAGAGAUUGAAUUCCCAAACAAACAGGCUUUCCUUCAGCCCUGCUCCCAGAAGACGUAGCACUACCUAACUUCUCAGAAUUCUGGAUUAAAUGUGCUCCUUUUUCACUGUACGCAGGGCGCACACAGUGCAGUUACUUGUGCACGGUUACUUCUGUUACUUAUGCCCCCUUCUCCUAGCACAUCCUAGGCCCUCAGAAUAUUUGUUGGAUACUCAAAUAAGGGGUUGAUGACAUCAGUGGUGUUCCCAGUCUUUUGGACUCUGUGGAUCAAUCCAGAUUCUCAAAAUAAUUUUGGAACCAGAACUGCAAUUUUAAAUUUUCACCAAGCUGUUAAAGACAAAAGACAACUGCCAUUUACUAUCAGCAUCACUUCAUUUUAAAUUAUUUUGACCUGCAAAAUAAAAAUAAGAUACCCUCUAAAAAGUCAAUUCUUUUAAAUCAGUCAACUUUAUGAAAACAUGCUUAGAACUUACUUUUCUUGUCUCACUGCAGACUAGUGAAAACUAGUGAUCAGUGAAAAUCAAUGAGUCCUUUUAAAUAUACUACUAAGUCUAAUAAACUCUUUAUUAAUUCUAUACUUUCUAGUAAAUUUGACUAAGUUUACUUCAUAGUUGGCAGUUCACUAGUUUAAAACCUUCCCAGUGGAAAAAGUUAUAGACCCGCAGGCUACCUACUCCAGAAUAAAAACCAAACUUGUCUUCUUCCUGGUCUGAUUCCUCUUCCUGCCCAAGGGUAAAAAGCCACAGGGGAGGUGUUAAUGAAGUCAGUUGCAUCUAGUUUCUUCUAGUAACACCAGCACCUAAGGGAUUUGUCAGAGGUACGUAUUUGAAUCCUCAACUAUGCUUUGUAAUAAAAGCUUUUUUUAAAAAAACGAUGUUCCUUGACAUUGUUACAUUAAAUGGUACAAUUAUCGGUUUUAAUUUAAUUAUGUUGAAUAAAAGACAGCACAGGACGUGUGAAAUCAGGUUAUUGGGUCUAAACCAUCUGAGAAUUUCAAAAUUCAGAUAAAAUGGAACAGAAAGAUGUCAGAAGACAUCAAAUCUAGUAAAGUGUCAAAUUGUUUCAUUAAUUUUCUUUUCAUCUGUGACUGAACUAUUAAAUUGAUCUAAUGAUUUUUAAA